GGGCUCAACUCGAGAAUUGCCUUCGAUACUGGCAAACUAGAGUGGCGGAGAGGAAAGCGGAACUCUUGGUGUAACGGUGGAAUGUGUAGAUAUCAAGAGGAACACCGGUGGCGAAGGCGGCUUUCUGGACGCACACUGACGCUCAGGCGCGAAAGCGUGGGUAGCAAACAGGAUUAGAUACCCUGGUAGUCCACGCCAUAAACGAUGGGUACUAGGUGUCGGGGGUAUCGACCCCUCCGGUGCCGCAGUUAACGCACUAAGUACCCCGCCUGGGGAUUAUGGUCGCAAGGCUGAAACUCAAAGGAAUUGACGGGGCCCCGCACAAGCGGUGGAGCAUGUGGUUUAAUUCGACGCAACGCGAAGAACCUUACCUGGGCUUGACAUGCUUGGGACAGCGCUGGAAACAGCGUCUCUCCUUCGGGAGCCCUUGCACAGGUGCUGCAUGGCUGUCGUCAGCUAGUGUCGUGAGAUGUUGGGUUAAGUCCCGCAACGAGCGCAACCCUCGUUACUAGUUGCCAUCAGUUCGGCUGGGCACUCUAGUGAGACUGCCGGUGAUAAACCGGAGGAAGGUGAGGAUGAUGUCAAGUCAUCAUGGCCCUUACGCCCAGGGCUACACACGUGCUACAAUGGUCGGCACAAAGGGUCGCUAAGCCGCGAGGUGGAGCUAAUCCCAAAAAGCCGGCCUCAGUUCGGAUUGGAGUCUGCAACCCGACUCCAUGAAGGCGGAAUCGCUAGUA
rnacentral:rRNA from 1 species